AUCAUCAAGCCAAUUUGGCACAUUGUGCCGCGAAACAAGUGAAGGAAGCACCGUGAGUUAUACGACAAGAAAAACCACGCAUCGAGCCGGAAAAGUUCGCUAAGAUCGAUCGCCCCGGUUAUCAGGUGACGAAGCAGCACGAUCCGGAGAACGGCCAACAGUCCUUGUCUUCCAAAGCGACUAUCCGGAAUUUACGGACGGUAUUGUACCGCGGCAUCGGUUUAUGUUCGUUUACGUACCAUCAUCGAGAUGAUCGACCACCAGUUAAACACGAGAACACGAGCUUCCGCCAAUUUCCACCAUAAUACGCAUGGCGCUAGCAUCGGCGACAGCACGAACUGUCAGUGCUGUCAUCAAUGUCAAGCCAUUUUUCUCCAAGGGACGCGCUGGAUGGUUGUUGGCCAAAUAGUUCUACUGUUUUUCCGAUAAAUACAACGUUUGCAGCAUGGAUUACCAAAACCAUGCCGGUGACCACACCGGCGGCGUAGGCGAGAGCAAGUGGUACCGGCGUGAACGAUUGUGCCAGCCAGCGCUGGAAAAGAUCGAUUUGAACCUGGAUAAAACGAGGCAGCAUCUGACUCACAGUCAUGGCUAAAAUCAUCAAGCCAAUUUGGCACAUUGUGCCGCGAAACAAGUGAAGGAAGCACCGUGAGUUAUACGACAAGAAAAACCACGCAUCGAGCCGGAAAAGUUCGCUAAGAUCGAUCGCCCCGGUUAUCAGGUGACGAAGCAGCACGAUCCGGAGAACGGCCAACAGUCCUUGUCUUCCAAAGCGACUAUCCGGAAUUUACGGACGGUAUUGUACCGCGGCAUCGGUUUAUGUUCGUUUACGUACCAUCAUCGAGAUGAUCGACCACCAGUUAAACACGAGAACACGAGCUUCCGCCAAUUUCCACCAUAAUACGCAUGGCGCUAGCAUCGGCGACAGCACGAACUGUCAGUGCUGUCAUCAAUGUCAAGCCAUUUUUCUCCAAGGGACGCGCUGGAUGGUUGUUGGCCAAAUAGUUCUACUGUUUUUCCGAUAAAUACAACGUUUGCAGCAUGGAUUACCAAAACCAUGCCGGUGACAACACCGGCGGCGUAGGCGAGAGCAAGUGGUACCGGCGUGAACGAUUGCAUCAGCCAGCGCUGGAAACGAUCGAUCUCAACCAGGAUAUCUACUAAGAUCCAACGAAGGCAGCACCUGUCCCACACGCAGGUCGAAAAGCAUCAGGCCAAUCUGGCACGUCGUGCCGCGAAAGAAACAAAGGAAGCACCGU